UAGACAUGGCAUAAGAAGACCAGAGAGGUCAAAUGGCUUAACCAAGAUCAUGUAGAAGACAAAGGCUUUGAAACCAGGCUUGAGUGUUGUCCAUGACCUCUGCUCUUAACUGCAAGGUUAAGGCAUUUGUGGAAGCCCCUGCCCUGUGCUGACCACAGAGUAAGGUGUUUAAUGCUGUGGGGUUCUCUACUGAAAAAGCAGGAGGAUCCUUGGGUCCACUACUGGGUAGGCCCCAGCAGGAGAUUGAAGACCAUUUCUUCAGGUUUCCAGACUGUCAAUGCUCAGGUGUUCCUGGGUUAGGAAUGAAAAAGGAUAGAAGAGAUUGUGAGUUUGGACUUCUUGGAAAUGAUCUGUGAUGUAGCAGCCUCUGUAGACUGAAGUACGUAUUUUGAGCUUUUGUGUCCGCCGGCAAGAAAGACGCAACAAACCGGAAUCUUCUGCGGCAAAAGCUUUAUUGCUUACUUCUUCAGGAGCAAGAGAGAAAAAAUGGCAAAACCCCGUCCCUUUUAAGGAGAAUUAUCCUCCGCCUAGGACGUGCCGCUCCCUGAUUGGCUGCAGCCCAUUGGCCGAGUUGUCGUCACUGGGAAGGCAGAGCACAUGGAGUGAAGAACUACUCCUGGCACAUGCGCAGAUUAUUUGUUUACCACUUAGAACACAGGAUGUCAGCGCCAUCUUGUAACGGCGAAUGUGAGGGCGGCUCCCCACAAGUAUGCAUUGCCCCCUGCAGGUAAAGAAGUCUGUGGAGAAAGCUUCAUCUGGAAAGAGCUCUGCUUUCUCACUCAUCCUCCAUGUUCUACAGCCUUGUUUUAAAUGAUUCCUUCCACCUCUAUCAUGGAUUUAACCACCAUCCUGUCAUUACAACAUCUUCAUAUCAAGGAUGCAGUUCAUUUCCAUUGCCUGUGUACCCAGUCCUGGCUACAAGCUGUGUUCCUGUACCCAACCUCAUACAAAUUCAAACUAUGGGCAAUGUGAUUGGUUACCAGCCUCAGGUCUGUCUGUUGGAGACCAGCUCAAAGUCCAGCCGAGGACUAAGGUGAAGUGAAACUGUUGUGGGGAGCCAGGCUAAACCACUGUCUCC
rnacentral:lncRNA from 1 species